rnacentral:lncRNA from 1 species
GGGAACAACCAUAUUAUCCACAGAAAAUCCUUAGAAAUCAUUUCCGGCAGGGGUGUCGGUGGAUUUCCACCACCGUUACCUUCACCGCAACCAAAACCUGAAGCAUGCCCUCCUCCACCGCCUCCUCCACGGCCACCGCCUCCACAACCUGAAGAAUGCCCUCCUCCACCGCCUCCUCCACCGCAACCAAAACCUGAAGAAUGCCCUCCUCCACCGCCUCCUCCACCGCAACCACAACCUGAAGAAUGCCCUCCUCCACCUCCUCCUCCAUGCCCUCCUCCACCGCAACCAAAACCUGAAGAAUGCCCUCCUCCACCGCCUCCUCCAUGCCCUCCUCCACCGCCUCCUCCUCCACCGCCUCCUCCUCCAUCGCCUCCUCCUACACCUUCCCCCAAAACACCACCACUUCCUCCGCCGGAGUCGAU